rnacentral:misc_RNA from 1 species
GAUGAAGAACGUAGCGAAAUGCGAUAAGUAAUGUGAAUUGCAGAAUUCAGUGAAUCAUCGAAUCUUUGAACGCACAUUGCGCCCGCCAGUAUUCUGGCGGGCAUGCCUGUUCGAGCGUCAUUACAACCCUCAAGCCCCCCGGCUUGGUGUUGGGGACCGGCCACCGGUGCCCUGCUGCUUCCGCGGCAGGCGCACCCGGCCGCCCCCGAAAUGAAUUGGCGGCCCCGUCGCGGCCUCCCUCUGCGUAGUGGCACACAUCUCGCAGCUGGAGCGCGGCGCGGCCACUGCCGUAAAACGCACCAACUUUUUUUACAGUUGACCUCGAAUCAGGUAGGAAUACCCGCUGAACUUAAGCAUAUCAAUAAGCGGAGGA